GAAGGCAUUUCAGGGAAGCUGUUUUGCUGAUGAUGCCAAAAAGGAUUGUGGGUGUCUUCCAAAAUUCUUCCUUUAAAGACUGCCUAUCUACGAAACAGCAACAGGCUCACAGACAUAGAGAACAGACUUGUGGUUGCCAAGGGGGAGAGGGGAGAGAAAGGGAUGGACAGGGAGUUUGGGGUUGGUAGAUGCAAACUAUUACAUUUAGAAUGGAUAAGCAGUGAGGUCCUACCAUAAGCAUAGAGAACUAUAGCCCUUCUCUUGGGAUACGACAUGAUGUAUGAAGAUGGUAUGAGAAGAAGGAUGUAUGGGCCGCUGGGCCGUACAGCAGAAAUUGGUACAGCAUUGUAAAUCGAUUAUACUUUAAUUAAACAAAUUCAUUUCAAAGUGGGCUUUCCAGGAGAAAGAUAAUUUGGAGAUGCUGCAAUUUAGCAUAGUUCCUGGGCCUGAAUUCCUGUUGUCAUGUAGUGGUUUGUGGACAAAUGAAAAAUAUCUGGAAUUAGAUUCCGGCUCUGGAGCUGAGGCAGCUUGAAGAAAGCCACAAGGGGGUUGGAAGGAAACUGCUGCCCUUUUAUAAAAGGAUGAGGCAUCUCCACUGAAGCCUCCAUUCUUUAAAUAGGCCUUCCAGUCCGUCCAUGGCAGCUCUGGAAGUAUCUAGCACUGAUUUCCCUCGCUGUCUCCGGCAAGGUCGCCAGCAUUUCACAACUGCUGUCAUCACUGUGGCUCCCUUGGCAGGAUGCAUGAUCCUUCUCCCUAUCAUAGAGUAUGGAUAUAUUUAGCUCAGUAACCAUGCUUAGAAGUUGGGCAGAAUGGGUUGUCAUGUCUAGUGGUUUCUGCCCUGUCUUUUCUCUUGGGAUGUGCAUUAUCCUGGUUGACACCGAAGAGUGAAUAGAAUGCAGGUACACUGGGGGAGAGUGAAGACUCUGCAUUUGUUUUCAUGAUUGUUAAAUUCUCAUUUUAUCUAUUCAAGGAGUCGGCAUGUACAUUGAAAAAUACAAAAUUUACUGUUACCAAAAAUUUAAAUGACAUAUUUCUGUGUACUAUCAACUAAUGAUAGUGCUCACCAAAGAAAGGAAACAUCACCAUUAAAUAGCAACAAGUGGAGAUUUGUGUUCGGUUUAGGAAGUAGAAAUCCAUGAGAAGCGUUCUAACGGAAGUUUGAGCAUUAUUACGCUUGGAUGUAAUACUGGAAAUAAAGUAAGCUCUCAGUGUGUGAUAGUCAUGAAUAGCAGUUUUAGUUGACAUUAAUUGAGUGCUGGGAGUUCCCGUCAUGGUGCGGUGGUUAAGAAAUCCGACUAGGAACCAUAAGGUUGUGGGUUUGAUCCCUGGCCUUGCUCAGUGUGUUAAGGAUCCGGCAUUGCCCUGAGCUGUGGUGUAGGUCGCAGAUGCGGCUCGGAUCCCACGUUGCUGUGGCUCUGGUGUAGGCCGGUGGCUAUGGCUCCGAUUCGACCCCUAGCC
rnacentral:lncRNA from 1 species